ensembl:lncRNA
GCGGGGACGCGGUCCAGCUCCGUCAAGGAGACGCGGGUGGGACUGAAACAAAGCAAGAGGCCAGGCAACAGACCCCUCCUGCCCUUGGCAUAGCGGGUCGCCGCACUGAAUGCACCUCCCCCUGGGGGGCGGGAAGCGCCUCGCUCGGAAGCUGGCGCCACGCGUGGGAGACCGGCCUCCUCGACUCCACUGCCCCUACCUGUGUCGCGCCUGCCUGUCUCGCGAGGCCGCCCCGAAGAUCGCCUGCCAGGCGCCGCUCUUCUCCGCCUCUUGCUUCGGUCGGGUGCCGACCGGCCGCCUCUUCCCCGCCGUUUCCUCCAGAGGCUCCGCCCGGCUCGCCGGUUUGGGGCGGAGAACGCGCCCGCACGCUCCGCGGUUCCCGCGCGCGACCCGCCCCUCCUAGUCCCGCCCCUUCGUGAUGGACAGCCAGCUCAGCCAGUGGGAGGGCGCGUCGUAGGGCUGUGGCUUCUAGAGAGGCGCCUUCUAGAGAGGCGCCUUCCAGAGGACGCAUCUUCCCAGAAGACCCCGGCAAAUCCGAAGUCGAGUUUUUAUUGGUUGAGUCGAUUAGGUGGGAUUUCUGAUUGGAUUAGGCCUGGGAUCAGAUCCCAUCCCCGGAAGUGGGAGUGGUUCUGCUCUCAGUCUGGGUCUCGAGCAGCUGUGUGGUAGGACUGUGGAACGGGUAGCGGCCGCCAGCUAAGUCCUUUACACUCUCCGUGCCCUCCGCGCCCUCGGCUCUCCUGGGCCCAGGCGUUCUGUUGAGGUUUCCGGGGUCUCCACCGAGCCAUACCCUCUGCGCUCACCUUCACGGCGUAAGCCACGUGGAGCUGACGUCCUGAGGGCGUCGGGCGGUGGACCAGGCGGUCCUAGGAGAGAUAGGCUGGGGGCCGCUGCCCCGAGCCCAGCUACACCGCCUGGCGGUUGCGGUUCUUCUACUGUCAGCCGCGCUAGGGCACAUCUGGAACCAAAGCUGCAUUUCACUGAGUGUUAAGAGCAGCAGGGCCGGAGAUUUAGCUCGGUGGUUCCGUCGCCUGCCUCUCAAGCGCAAGGUCCCGAGUUCGAUACACGGUGCCAAAAAAGAACAGCAGGCUCCACAGACAGAACCAUUCACUGCUGGGAUCUGGAAAAUGUAAAGUGUACAUGAAAAACAAAACAAAAGCCUGUUUACAAAAUCCCCAGCUUCAUCUGCAGGUCGAAGCCGAACAGUUUAACCUGUCCCCUCUGGGCGUCCCGGGGCUCCCACCCCCUACCCGCCUUAGACCUCGGUGGUUGGGACGUUUUGGGGACGAGGGGGAAGGGCUAUUCAGUAUAGCCCACCUGGUUCUGGCAGGAAGGCGACAGCCUGUGUUAAGACACAGAGCUCGGUGGGCCGGGGAUUUAGCUCAGUGGUUUCGCCGCCUGCUGCGCAAGCACAAGGACCCAAGUUCAAUCCGGGGUACCAAAAAAAAAACAGAGCUCGAGGCGGGGAUGGGCGUCUUGGCAGUAGUAGUCACCAGAAUGUCUUUACUGUAUGUAUAAUCGCCCCGGAUAGUGCUGAGAGUUCACUUUACAGCAUCUAUACGCUGCCCAGGGAUGGACAUGGAACCGGGCCGACCCACUUCCAGGCCUGGGUGAAUUUCCUGGCAGGACCUAAGAGCAACAGCUGCUUCUGAACUGGGGCCCCAACAGUCCAGAGAACAUGGAUGAGCCCAACUUGGGUGGAGGACAGAAACCUUACUGGAAAGAGGACCUACACCCUAGCCGGCUGCUGACAGCUACCAUCUCUACCCUGUGAAGCCAGAUCCCUUAGACCUUCUGCCUCCUGAUAUGGACUCACACAAGACACUACAGUGAGCUCCAGGCCUCGACUGGAUCCUUCAGAUCUCCAGCACAGAGACAGCCCUUUUGCACUUUUACACACCUGACACUGCAGGCAGCCACUGUAAGCCAAUCUUGUAAAUUCUCAGCUAUUUGUAUAUCUUGCAUUAAAUCUAUUUCUCUAGUAUGCACUCUUACAAGGACCAAACAAUUUAGCUAAGAAAAAUGAAAACACGCCCACAAAGGAGUUAUAUCGUAGAACGUUCAUAGCAGAUUCAUUCCUCACAGCCCCAGACUGGGGAACAGCUCACAGUCAUGGAGUAGAGCAUGGAUGAAGAAAGGUGGGCUCUCUCCGUGAGCCACAGUUGUGUUUUCUGAGGGUUCCAGUGACCUGCAGUCAACUGUGGCUGGAAAUCCCAGAAGCCUAACAGGCCAUGAGUUUUAAGCUGUGCACCCUUCUGAGGGAUGCCAGCUCUUCAGCCCCUGGAUGAAAUCCUUUUGAGCCACCAGCUUUUGUCUCCCUGCAGGAACAGCAAAUGCUCAGCAUGACAAGGGAAACCUGCACUGCCCUUGGGUGAACAAGGUGGCUAUGGGGAGCCAUGGAGAGGCAGCGAGACCCCUGUGUGACCCUCCCUGCCACUU